rnacentral:rRNA from 1 species
AUUGAACGCCGGCGGCAGGCCUAACACAUGCAAGUCGAGCGGAUGACGGGAGCUUGCUCCUUGAUUCAGCGGCGGACGGGUGAGUAAUGCCUAGGAAUCUGCCUGGUAGUGGGGGACAACGUUUCGAAAGGAACGCUAAUACCGCAUACGUCCUACGGGAGAAAGCAGGGGACCUUCGGGCCUUGCGCUAUCAGAUGAGCCUAGGUCGGAUUGGCUUGUUGGUGAGGUAAUGGCUUAAAAAGGGGACGAUCCGUAACUGGACUGAGAGGAUGAUCAGUCACACGGGAACGGAGACACGGACAAGACUCAUACGGGAGGCAGAAGUGGGGAAUAUUGGAAAAUGGGCGAAAGCCGGACCCAGCCAUGCCGCGUGUGUAAAGAAGGUCUUCGGAUUGUAAAGCACUUUAAGUUGGGAGGAAGGGUUGUAGAUUAAUACUCUGCAAUUUUGACGUUACCGACAGAAUAAGCACCGGCUAACUCUGUGCCAGCAGCCGCGGUAA